GCACUGCUGACGAGUCCAAAACGGGACAAAACAGCUGUCCAGAGC
rnacentral:hammerhead_ribozyme from 1 species